GACGAACGCUGGCGGCGUGCUUAACACAUGCAAGUCGAACGGCAGCGCCCUGCUUUUGUGGGGUGCUCGUGUCGCGAGCGGGUGAGUAACAUGACGGUAACCUGACCUUGCUUUUGGGAUAAGUUCAGGAAACUGGGUCUAUUCUCGUAUCGGAGAUUCUGCUACAUGGUGUGGGUUGGAAUGUUUAGGCGGUUGGGGAUGGACUCGCGGCUUAUUAGAUUGUUGGUGAGGUAGUGGCUUAGCACGGCAUUGCCGGGUUGCCUGCCUGAGAGGGGGACCGGCCACAUGGGGACUGAGAUACGGCCCAGAGUCCUACGGGAGACAGCAGUGGGGAAUAUUGCACAAUGGGCGGAAGCCGGAUGCAGCAACGCCGCGUGCGGGAUGACGGCCUGCGGGUGGAAGACCGCUAUCGCCUGUAACGGAACGUGAGUGACGGUAAUGUGUAAAGAAGCACCGGCUAACUACGUG
rnacentral:rRNA from 1 species